rnacentral:rRNA from 1 species
GACGAACGCUGGCGGCGUGCUUAACACAUGCAAGUCGAACGGAAAGGCCCUGCUUUUGUGGGGUGCUCGAGUGGCGAACGGGUGAGUAACACGUGAGUAACCUGCCCUUGACUUUGGGAUAACUUCAGGAAACUGGGGCUAAUACCGGAUAGGAGCUCCUGCUGCAUGGUGGGGGUUGGAAAGUUUCGGCGGUUGGGGACGGACUCGCGGCUUAUCAGCUUGUUGGUGGGGUAGUGGCUUACCAAGGCUUUGACGGGUAGCCGGCCUGAGAGGGUGACCGGCCACAUUGGGACUGAGAUACGGCCCAGACUCCUACGGGAGGCAGCAGUGGGGAAUAUUGCACAAUGGGCGGAAGCCUGAUGCAGCAACGCCGCGUGCGGGAUGACAGCCUUCGGGUUGUAAACCGCUUUCGCCUGUGACGAAGCGUGAGUGACGGUAAUGGGUAAAGAAGCACCGGCUAACUACGUG